UGGGAAUAAUUUACCUCGCGUUCGCAUGUGGUGUGAAAUGAAACGAUCUGGGAAAGGCAGAACAAUUAAUCAUCAAGGUGGAAGCAUGCUGAGGCCAAGGACCUGCAACGAUGUUUACUGUCUGUUCUUCCUGUUAUUGCUCCUCCCUGGCUGCACAGAUACCUCUUUGUCAAAUUUGGCACCCAGUGGAAUAGCAUCUCAGUCAUCGACACAUUCUACCCAUUACGCUUCGCUCGGAAUUGAUG